GACGAACGCUGGCGGCGUGCCUAAUACAUGCAAGUAGAACGCACAGGAUGCACCGUAGUUUACUACACCGUAUUCUGUGAGUUGCGAACGGGUGAGUAACGCGUAGGUAACCUGCCUGGUAGCGGGGGAUAACUAUUGGAAACGAUAGCUAAUACCGCAUAAGAACAUUUACUGCAUGGUAGAUGUUUAAAAGGUGCAAAUGCAUCACUACCAGAUGGACCUGCGUUGUAUUAGCUAGUAGGUGAGGUAACGGCUCACCUAGGCGACGAUACAUAGCCGACCUGAGAGGGUGAUCGGCCACACUGGGACUGAGACACGGCCCAGACUCCUACGGGAGGCAGCAGUAGGGAAUCUUCGGCAAUGGGGGGAACCCUGACCGAGCAACGCCGCGUGAGUGAAGAAGGUUUUCGGAUCGUAAAGCUCUGUUGUUAAGGAAGAACGAGUGUGAGAAUGGAAAGUUCAUACUGGACGGACUAACCAGAAAGGACGC
rnacentral:rRNA from 1 species